UUCCAUGACUGGUCUUUGUGUCAUAGCCUCUGUCAAUCAUUCGAUUUUUGGCCAAAUCCACAUGAUAGAACAUAUAGACUUGGGAUGCAUGUUGCUCUACGAUGUUGAUAGGAUUAGAGAAGAGAUAUCAACCCCCUUAAAAUUCGAACUUUAGAAUUUCGAACGAGUUCUGGUAAUAUUAUUAUUAAGUAGGCUAUUGCUGUGGUAUCACGUUGAUAUGGCAAAUGGUAGGCUAUGGCUUUUCGCUCAGCGGGGGAUGAGGAACCGCAAAAGCUCCAUUCUUCAACAGCUGGCAUGGCUGAUGCAGCUGCGACGCAUGUGCUGACAGUUCACCCGUUUCAACGUGCAAUUGUUUAGGGUGUUGAAAUGGAGUAAUGAGAGCUCUAAUGUCUAUCAGCCGUAUCGCAAACGACUCGAAUACAAUCCAAUGGCAGAGGAGAGGACCAGCUAAACUCGUGGAGUGAAGACGAUUUAGUCUCGUUAACAGCAGAGUGCACUGGUUGUCUCUCCUCAAGAUGCUUUGGAUAGAACUAUUACUCCUGUCAUUAAUUACAAUAAAUACAGCCCAGUGUUCAGAUCAGCCGCCCAUCAUCAACAGUGAUGUGUUCUCAGGGAUGCCUCAUCUUCUGGGACAGUCGUAUCUCAGCCUGGUCUUACUGGUGCUGACAGUAGGGCUGUCCGGAGGGGUUUAUCUCUGCGUGCUGCGCUACAUCUGCAUUGGCUGUUGCCAGCCUGUCCUGGUCGGACCGGAGGAUGAAACCCUCUCUGGGGUCGUCUAAUAGGACUUUUAUCUGUCUCCGAAUGCCCUACUGUGCUGGA